UUUGGUUGUGGUGUUUGUGAUGUAUUUUUGGUUUAAAUUAUUGGGAAUUUAAUUUGUAAUUAUAAUAAUUUGAUUGUGUAUUAAGUUUGUGUGUUGCAUGAUUUGAUCUGAUAGCUGAUUUAUUUGUGAGCUCCUGUGUUCAAUGUGUGUGUCGUAAUGAAUUGUUUGCGUUGGUGGCAGAAAAAGAUGCAAGACCCCCACGAAUUUAAGAUUGGAUAUAUCGAUGUGAAACCCGCGAGCAUGCUUUCCGUAAGUAAUCGAAUGUUUAAUGGAAAAUUCCAAUAGAUUGAUAUUCCAGACGAA